rfam:Colletotrichum tofieldiae strain 0861 Ct_v4_contig2, whole genome shotgun sequence.
ACAUACGACCAUACCCACUGGAAAACUCGGGAUCCCGUCCGCUCUCCCAUCGAUAAGCCAGCGAGGGCGAGGGCCGGAUUAGUAGUCGUGUCGGUGACUACCAGCGAAAACCUGGUAUUGUGUGUU